UAUAUAAUAUGAAUUUAAAAUUUUAAUAAAAAUUAAAAAUUUGUUAAAAUUUUUUUGUGGGACGAUAAGACCCUAUAGAAUUUUAUAUAAAAUAAAUUUUAUAUUAAUAUAAAAUUUAUUUUUAUAUUUAAUUGGGAGAAUUAUUAAAUUUAAUAAAUUUUAAUUUUUAUAAACUUAAAUUAAAGAAAAGUUAUUGAUUUGAAAUUUUUAAUUAUUAGUAUAAAUUACCCUUAGGGAUAACAGCGUAAUAUUUUUUUAUAGAUCUUAUAGAAAAAAAUGAUUGCGACCUCGAUGUUGAAUUAAGAUAAAUUUUAAAUGUAGAAGUUUAAUAAUUAAGUCUGUUCGACUUUUAAAAUCUUACAUGACUUGAGUUCAAAUCGACGUGAGU
rnacentral:rRNA from 1 species